UACGGGGGGUGCGAGCGUUGUCCGGAAUCACUGGGCGUAAAGAGCGUGUAGGCGGUCCGGUAAGUCAGCUGUGAAAGUCAAGGGCUCAACCCUUGAAAGCCGGUUGAUACUGUCGGGCUAGAGUCCGGAAGAGGCGAGUGGAAUUCCCGGUGUAGCGGUGAAAUGCGCAGAUAUCGGGAGGAACACCAAUGGCGAAGGCAGCUCGCUGGGACGGUACUGACGCUGAGACGCGAAAGCGUGGGGAGCAAACAGG
rnacentral:rRNA from 1 species